UCCUCCAGCACUAUUCGAUUACAUGA
rnacentral:piRNA from 1 species